UAUAAUUAAUACCGGCUUGUCUUAUCCUCUCCCUCUCUCGAGACUCCGACAAGCCGCCUCCAUCUCCGCAGCCGAUCGUGACGCAGAUGACCGCCAUGCCGCCUUCCUCAUCCUUUACUCCUCCACUUGGAUCUGAUUGGUGACCACUAUUGCUUCUCCGCCGAUGUCUCGGGUGUCCGACAAUCAUCACCAUUGUUUCCAUUUCGAGGAUUUCAGGUCUACUAACGAAUGACUAUAAUUUGGAUCGCAAGUUGACAAUCUUGGCCUAGAGUGCUUCCGAAGUGGGUUAGGGUUCAUUGAUUCUAGGUAUCAAAUAUUGUUUUCAAAGGAGAAGAUGAUGGUGGUGGAGAAGCUCUCUUCCUUAUAAGAAAUCGAGGCCAGAGGCUUCAUAUUUGGAUAACCCAUUGCACUAGCUAUUGGUGCAAAGUUUGUCCCACUGAGAAAACCAAGAAAGUUACCAAGAUGUAUUUCGUGAACUUAUUGAGGACAGGCCACAAAAAUCCAUCAGAGAUGAGGUAGAUCUUGUGGCAUUACCAAAGCAAUUGUGGUGUUUACUGAAAGAAAAGAAUGUUGGUGAGGUAUAAUCAGCAGAAGUUGGAUGGCUGUUUGACCAUGGCCAUGCCCUGACAUCAAGUUGUGUUUUCCUUCAGGAUGGAAGACUAAAGGCAAGUAUAUAUCUUCAAGUGCUUCUCUUUUGUAUUUGGACUGUGUGAAUGAUGAUCACAAGCAGACCUGUAUCAUAUGUGAUGAUAUGCUUAAGUUCUACUUAGAUUUACGGAGUUUAUGGGAACACUUAAUACGACUAAAGCAAAACUAUGCCUAUUGACA